rfam:Myotis davidii contig60622, whole genome shotgun sequence.
ACCGGUUUGGCUCAGUGGAUAGAGUGUCAGCCUGCGGACUGAAGGGUCCUGGGUUCGAUUCCGGGAAAGGGCA